rnacentral:tRNA from 1 species
GCGUCGCUAGUGUAAGGAUGAGCACGGUGCCCGGAAAGCACAAAUGCGGGUUCGAGUCCCAUCCGACGCU